GACAGAGGGUGCAAACGUUGUUCGGAAUUACUGGGCGUAAAGCGCGUGUAGGCGGCUAAGUAAGUCGGGCGUGAAAUCCCACGGCUCAACCGUGGAAGUGCACUCGAAACUGCAUAGCUAGAGUCCUGGAGAGGAAGGUGGAAUGCUUGGUGUAGAGGUGAAAUUCGUAGAUAUCAAGCGGAACACCGGUGGCGAAGGCGGCCUUCUGACAGUGACUGACGCUGAGACGCGAAGCGUGGAGCAACAGG
rnacentral:rRNA from 1 species